rnacentral:rRNA from 1 species
CACGUAGGGCGCAAGCGUUGUCCGGAAUUAUUGGGCGUAAAGAGCUCGUAGGCGGUCUGUUGCGUCCGCUGUGAAAACUCGGGGCUUAACCCCGAGCCUGCAGUGGAUACGGGCAGACUAGAGGUAGGUAGGGGAGAAUGGAAUUCCCGGUGUAGCGGUGAAAUGCGCAGAUAUCGGGAGGAACACCGGUGGCGAAGGCAGACCCCUGGGUCGACACUGACGCUCAUGCACGAAAGCGUGGGGAGCAAACAGG